rnacentral:rRNA from 1 species
GUCGCUCCCACUGAUUGGGCGGUCCGGUGAAGACUCUGGAGACGAGCACGUGUUUGGUUUCCAUUCGCGUUGCGCGUUGAAUUUGUCUAAACCUUAUCGCCUAGAGGAUGGAG